UGGAAAACUGGCCCAUAGAGUUCUAUAGAUGAAUGAGGUCUGGAAAACUGGCCCAUAGAGUUCUAUAGAUGAAUGAGGUCUGGAAAACUGUCCCAUAGAGUUCUAUAGAUGAAUGAGGUCUGGAAAACUGGCCCAUAGAGUUCUAUAGAUGAAUGAGGUCUGGAAAACUGUCCCAUAGAGUUCUAUAGAUGAAUGAGGUCUGGAAAACUGGCCCAUAGAGUUCUAUAGAUGAAUGAGGUCUGGAAAACUGGCCCAUAGAGUUCUAUAGAUGAAUGAGGUCUGGAAAACUGGCCCAUAGAGUUCUAUAGAUGAAUGAGGUCUGGAAAACUGGCCCAUAGAGUUCUAUAGAUGAAUGAGGUCUGGAAAACUGGCCCAUAGAGUUCUAUAGAUGAAUGAAGUCUGGAAAACUGGCCCAUAGAGUUCUAUAGAUGAAUGAGGUCUGGAAAACUGUCCCAAAGAGUUCCAUAGAUAAAUGAGCGAGUCGUGUUAUGUUUCUCUGCCUCUGACAGGAAGUGUGCGUUGAGCGGCGUGUCCCGGUCCUGCACGCACCGCAUCAAACUUGGAGACAGAGAGUUACUACCACAUCUCUCCCUCUAGCAGGGCACGGAUAACAGCGGUGUGUGAUUUCUUCACCUAUAUCCGCUACAUACAGCAGGGCCUGGUCAGACAUGAUGCGGAACAGAUGUUCUGGGAAGUGACGCGUCUACGGAGGGAGAUGACUGUGGCCAAGCUGGGCUUCUACCUCACAGACACAGACCAGGGAUAGAGGACAGACAAGAGGAGACAUCACCGUUAGCCCUGGGUCAUGUUCAUUAGGGCACACCGUAGCAACUAAAAAAAGAAACGUUGUGCUUGACAGACCGUUUUUUUUUUGUUUUGUUUUUGCAAGCGCUUCGUAUUGGACAAGUUCAAGAUAUUACCACCCGUUUAGGGACGCUUUCUUCCGUUUUCAUGCCUACUGAACACGACCCUGGGCUUAGAAAGACAAGAGAUACCAGCUGUACAGAGACACGAGAUCACCAGUACCCCUUUUUACACUGUCCUGAUAAUCCAACCCCAAAAAUCCACUGGGCUGGAGUGUGAAAAGUCCUCAGCUGGCCACGGUGAACACAGAAACCAGAUCACGGAUCUUAUUGAGUAGGAGAGCCAUUUUCAAGUGUGUCUGACGAGGGAAGCAGAAAUGCUACAGCAAAUAUGACACCAUUUAGCAAUUAGAUUAGAUUAGAUUAGUCUCGUAACAAAUCAGCCCGAUCUGGCGAGCUACACGGUAGAGGAAACAUUUUUUUUUUGUAGCAAAACAGAAAGUAAGCUUGUGAGAUCAGUAGAGUUCGUACGAUGCUAGCAGUUAGAGCUAUGUACUUUAUAAACUAGCACAAUAUUAUAACACAACCACAAAGACAUACAAUAAAUAGCAUCUUUUAAAAGGACAGUAAGCGUAUAUGUGAAAAUGUAUCAAUAUACCAUAGAAACUCUUGUUAUUACUACGUAAAAUUGACAAGUGGUUACACAGCUGAUCUUAGUUGGCACAGAUUGAAACUAUAUACGCAUGUGUCAUGCUGCCACGGAAACACUAGUAUGGGUUUAAUCCUAACUGGUCAGGUUAAUCUCACAGAUCUUUUUAAGUUGGAGUUCUGACCAAUAGAGAACUAUGCUGCUCACUUUUCAUUCUAACAGCUGUCAUGUGGUACCUGUGUACCAGUCCUGCAUGUUGUCUCAUCUCCUCUCACCUUAACAACCAGACUACGUACGUGUUGUCGUCUCCUCUCACCUUAACAACCAGACUACGUACGUGUUGUCGUCUCCUC